rnacentral:rRNA from 1 species
GACGUAGGAGGCGAGCGUUGUCCGGAUUCAUUGGGCGUAAAGAGCGCGCAGGCGGCUUGGUAAGUCGGAUGUGAAAUCCCGAGGCUCAACCUCGGGUCUGCAUCCGAUACUGCCCGGCUAGAGGUAGGUAGGGGAGAUCGGAAUUCCUGGUGUAGCGGUGAAAUGCGCAGAUAUCAGGAGGAACACCGGUGGCGAAGGCGGAUCUCUGGACCGAGACUGACGCUGAGGCGCGAAAGCGUGGGGAGCAAACAGG